GAUGAAGAACGUAGCGAAAUGCGAUACGUAAUGUGAAUUGCAGAUUUCAGUGAAUCAUCGAAUCUUUGAACGCACAUUGCGCCCGCUAGUAUUCUGGCGGGCAUGCCUGUUCGAGCGUCAUUUCAACCAUCAAGCCCUAGGCUUGCGUUGGAGCCCUGCGGCUGCCGCAGGCUCCCAAAUCCAGUGGCGGGCUCGUCGUCGUACCGAGUGCAGUAAACAUCCUCGCUCAGGGAACGUGACGGGUUCUUGCCGUGAAACCCCCCACAUAUCAAGGUUGACCUCGGAUCAGGUAGGAAUACCCGCUGAACUUAAGCAUAUCAGUAAGCGGAGGA
rnacentral:misc_RNA from 1 species